rnacentral:lncRNA from 10 species
CUGCACUCCAGCCUGAGCGACAGGGCAAGGGCAAGACUCCAUCUCAAAAAAAGAAGAAAAGAAAAUACUGCAGAGGGGAUUAGACAAGGGAAGAGCAUGUCUAGUCAGGUGGAUGCGUUAGCGAUUGCUACCAACCUAUUACAUCAUUAAUAAUUAUCAAACCGGCAGUGGCACACAACAGACAUGUCCUUUUCCUGCGUGGCAAGUGGACACCUGCAAAGCCUCUUAGGACAUGCCCAAAGUGACAGCUCACACGGAGAUCCAGGGAUUGCUCCCUUUGGGAGACACCAGCCACCAUUCCAUGAGGGCACUCUUGGAGAGGUUCAAAUGGAAAGAAUCUGAGGUUUCCACUAAAAGCCAAUACUAUCUUGCCAGCCAUGUGAGUGAGUCACCUUGCAAAUGGAUCCUCCAGCCCAUCAGGUCUACAAAUAACUGAAGCCUCAAGCUGACAACCUGACUGUAAUCUCAUAAAGUCAUAA